ACGAACGCUGGCGGCGUGCUUAACACAUGCAAGUCGAACGCUGAAGCUUGGUGCUUGCACUGGGUGGAUGAGUGGCGAACGGGUGAGUAAUACGUGAGUAACCUGCCCUUGACUCUGGGAUAAGCCUGGGAAACUGGGUCUAAUACUGGAUAUGACAUGCCACUGCAUGGUGGUGUGUGGAAAGGGUUUUACUGGUUUGGGAUGGGCUCACGGCCUAUCAGCUUGUUGGUGGGGUAAUGGCCUACCAAGGCGACGACGGGUAGCCGGCCUGAGAGGGUGACCGGCCACACUGGGACUGAGACACGGCCCAGACUCCUACGGGAGGCAGCAGUGGGGAAUAUUGCACAAUGGGCGGAAGCCUGAUGCAGCGACGCCGCGUGAGGGAUGACGGCCUUCGGGUUGUAAACCUCUUUCAGCACGGAAGAAGCGAGAGUGACGGUACGUGCAGAAGAAGCGCCGGCUAACUACGUG
rnacentral:rRNA from 1 species